rnacentral:tRNA from 10 species
GGUCACGAGCAGGAAAGAAUGAAAAUGUAAAAUUCAGUGGGCUUCAUUUCCAUGGUUGUGGUGUGAAAUUUGUGGGGGAGAUUCCGGAGUGAGGUAUGCCCCAGGUACUCACCUGAAAAAGGGUUCCAGGUACAUGGUGUGUCCGCAGCAUCCCUGGCCCCAUCCUUUCUGUCCUGGAAUUCUGUGUUUGUGGAUAUAUUAGUCAGGACAGGCUAGUUUAGUUUAUGCUACAGCAACAAGUGGCUCCCAAAUCUUAGUGACUUAGAGACUGACAGAUCUUCUCCACCACAUCCUUUGCCGAUUGGCUGUUGCUCUGCUUCCAGUCAUCCUGCUGGAGCAGUCUCUCCCUGGAACACUUGGUCACUGUGGCAGAAGGAAAGGAAAAAUGGUGAACCACUUCCUGGCUCGAAAAGCUUCUGUGUGGAAGUGACACACAUCUCUUCUGUCUACAUUUCAGAAGGGAUGGGGCCAGGGAUGCUGAGGACACACCAUGUACCCUUUUUCAGGCCAUAUCCAGUAACAGAGUCUACUGCAUCAUAUUAACUGAUAAACCCAGGAUGACAAGAGAAACAUGGGACUCACUCUUCAUUUGCAUUGACUCCAGCUAAGAGCUUCAGUUUUCAUGCUUUGCUUCAGAAUUAUUGUGGUCUGAUGCAGAACUGAAAAGGCCAACACGAGAAUCUUCAAGUACAAUUGCCUGGGAAUCCUGAGGUCUGGACAGCAACACCUGAAUCUGAAUCUCUUUUGGGUUGAAUCAUAAAAGAAAAUAGUAUGGAGAGAUUUAAGGCCAGGCCUCUGGAGAAGGAAUUGAUAAAAUAUGUGGUAGUACCUGCGCUACAGAACAGAAUUCACUUGGAAGUUCUUGGCAUAUAAAUGAAAACAGAUGGGCUGGGAAGCCAGUGGAUCAAAAGAAGGACCUGGGGGAAGCUCAGCUUGGGGACCGGCUUGCUCUUUGCCCUCACUAUUUGUCAACUGGGAAUCUCCUGGGUGCUCAGCUGUGCUGGAAUCUCAGGGUGAAGAAGAGUGCUCACCAGAUUCCCUUCUGGUCUGGAAAAAGAAAUCCCUUCUUUUGUGGAUGUCAUCUCUACCAUCUCUCGGUGAAAAAUAUUUCAAGAGAAUCCUAAGAUGGAGAGAGCAUUGGAAGUCAUCCGGCCCAAUUCCCUUGUGCAAUUCAAAGCUUCUUUGUAAGAAAAAUGCCCCCAGAAGUUUGUUUGCAUCAUGAAGAUCAGAUUUUGAGGAUCCAGUCUGGCUCUUCCCUGUACAAAACAUUCCUCACAAACAGAAUAUGGACAAUUGUUAAAUGUCAAAGGUAAAGUUAUUGUGGGAACUCCUUCAAAAAGUUCAAGUGAGAGCCCAUUCUAUGAAUGACCAUUUACAUCUAAUUUUUUUCUGUGCUAUGUUACUUAUUCUGAAGUGGUUGAUCCAAUUCCUAAAAGGGAAUAUUUCAUUACCUUUUAUUUCCUAUAGCAUCCAUUCUGACCCCUUUUCGGUUUAAUUAUUCCCUGAUUCCAGUCUUCAUUCACUCAUUUAUUUGAGGAAUAUUUAUUGACCAACAACUAUGCCAGGUCCCAUUCUAUGUGUAGGGACUAUAAAGUUGAACAAGACAGAGGAGGUACUGGCCUCAGAAUUUACAUUCUAGUAGAUGAGAAAGUAAAAAUAAACACAUGAAAACAUGAAUGAACCGGAUAUUGUAGACUGUGAUAGGUGUAGUUUGGGUAAAGCACAGAGUGCAGUAGUAAAGAUAAACUGCACUCAGAGUGGGGCUAUUUUAGAUGGAAUGGAGAUCUCUGAGGAAAUGAAAUUUGAGCUGAGACCUAAAAGGUCACCCAAGGACUCAUGGGAAAACUCAGUUGUUUCUAUCAAAAUUUAGCUUCAUGAACUCCAGGCCCUUGCAAAUGAUGGUUACCAGGUGAGAAAUGUCUCACUGGCAACAGAGGUUGGCAGACCCAGCUCCAGUUCCAUCCCAGCCAACAUACCAAUGUCAUUAAAAUAAGGCCAUUCAUCAAGGUGGAGACUAUUACUAGAAACAAGCAUUCUAAAGUGCCAUUUGAGUGCCAGGCUCUCAACACUGGGCGUAGCACUGCUCCAUGAGGCUUUUGAGAGCAUAUACUGAGGCAUGACCAAAAAAAUUAAGUCCCAUGUAAGUGAUGCAACUGCUCCCCAAUUACUGUGGAAGUAUCUGCAGACUAACUAUUGUGCGUGUGUGUUUGUUUGCUUUAAUGAAUAAAUUCAGUCAACCAACCAUCUAGCUAUUGACUAAAUCCAUUCUUUUUCUUCCAAAAUGUCUAUUGGCUGAAGUUUACUGGUUUUUAUUUCUAUUCGCAUACGUAAUUUUCUAAACCCCAUUCUUAUGGAACCUUCUCUAAGUUCCUCUCUAUGGCCCUGUCCAUGUUCAUACGGAUACACAUAAAGACACAAAUACACCAAACUAAGUUUAGAGCAGUCUGGUGCCUGCCUAAGACUUCAGCCUCAUCUCCUGCUUCUACCCUCUUUAGUUUAGGAAAAACAGGUAACGUUGCUGAGUGCCAAGUAUUGUGUUAGUAGCUUUGCAUGCAUUUUUUCAUUUUAUCUUCACAAGUUUCUUCUAUCACCAUGAUCUGUAUGUUUGACCAUGGUGUUUCCUCCACCUGAAAUUCCCUUGGUGCUCUGCCUGGGGAACUGUUACUCAUUCUUCAAAUCUCAACGGAAUGAUCUCCUCCUCUGGAAAGCUCUCCCUACUUCCCUAGGAAGAAGUAAUCCCUUCCUCAGUUCUGCUUUGAUUAUAACUUUAUAAGCACCUAUCACUCUGCAUGGUAUUAGUUCACUGUCAUGUCCAUUUCCUCUAUUGGGAUGUAAAUUGCUUAUGGGUAAUAAUUAGGCUUUGAAUCAUUUUAUGAUCUGGCCUAAGACAGUGCUUGGCACAUACUAUAGGCUCAUCAGAUGAUGGCUGAGUAGAAUUAAAUUGAAUCAAGUUGAAGUUAUACUUUGAUGUUUAUCAAUUAACAUGUGUAGUGUGUUAAAUGGUGGUCACUGAAAACAUACGUCUGCACCCUAAUUCCUGGAACCUGUGAAUAUAACCUUACAUGUUAAGAAGAAAUAUGACCUUAAAUGGAUAUGGAGACAAGGAGCUUAUCCUGGAUUGUCUGAGAGGGCCCUAGAUGCAAUCGCAUGUAUUCUGAUAAGUGGAGAGAAACAGAAGAGGAGGAUGCAAUGUGACCAUGUAGGCAGAAGUUUGAAUGGUGCAGCCACAAGCCAAGGAGCCCCUGGGGCCAUCAGAAGCUGGAAGAAGCAAGGAAUGGAUUCCUUCCUAGUGUUUGGAAGGAGUGUGCACUUGCCAACACCUUGGUUUGAGACUUCUGGCCUCUGGAACUGUGACAGAAUAAAUAUCUGUUGUUUUGAGCCACCCAAUUGUUGCUAAUUUGUUAAAGCAACCUUAGAAAAUUAAUAUAGCAUCCACAAUAAAAUUUCUCAAAAUAUAUGUUCCUGUGAAAUGGAAGAGUUCUAGGGAUCUAGUAGCAUAUACGGAACCCAGAUAAGUUAUACAAGUUUUUCCCUGAAAGUCUUUUCAGAUUCUUUAGCGGGCUAAGGUGCAUUGUGAAUCCCAAAAACUUUAGCGUUUUUCAGCAUCUAUUAUCACAUAAUCCUUUCCCCACCCAUGGAAUUAUAUACUAAACUGUUUUUGUAGAUGUUGAUGUUCUGUAGAACAGAGUUUUGGGGUCUGUAUGACUUAAGAUCCUUCUACAAUGGAACACAGUGAGGAGGGUAUUCAGAGGAGUCAUAGAGGGCAUUGAUCUUGCAAUAUAUACUCAGGAAAUUACCAUGGGCAGAAUAAAAUGCUUUUGAAAAUAUUUAAUGUUUGCUUGGCAUUGUUUCUCUUGGGUUUAGCUUUGCAAAAUUUUCCUCAGGUAUCAUUUUUCUUGUUGCCAUGGAGCCAAUUCACUUCCCAAGGCAAGUUGGUGAUUGGCCUAAGGGAAACUAUUGAGAAAAAAUGGACAGCUCAAGAUGUGGUUUGAAACAUUGAUGUUCUUUCUUGGUGCACUUAACUCUUCUCUCUGCUAUUAUUUUUCUUCUUCACUCUCCUGGAAUCUCCCUCUUUCCCAGUGUAAGUGAGAGUCUAAUAGCUCAUGAUGCAGCUUGGUUUGUUGUGUAUUGAAGUGACCGUAGCUGCAUUUGUUUUGGCAAACCCAUCAUCAUUUGUCUGAGGCAUAACAAUGGCCUCUUUAUUGAUGGUUUAAUCCAGUUCCUGAGGCUGGAUUAAAUAAAUGAGACAAUUGAACCUCAGAUAGGUAAGUGACUUGGCCUUGGUCACCUAGCAAGGCACUGCUAGCCAGACACACAAUCUCACUUAGUAAUUUCUGUCUAGUGCCUCCUACUAGACAGGCCAAGGCCCAGGGCACUGCACUCUGCAUGGGGUGGAAGUAGGGUGUAGCAUUGGAAUGGAGGUAGUGGUAGAAUGCAGUACUUAAAGCCAAGGAGAGAACACUAAAGAAUCCAUAGCCCCAGGAGAAGUAAAGUCAAAGGGAACCAAAAUCCAAAGGCAGUAAUCACCGAGAGGGACUCAGGAGUGAGAGAAAAUUCAUGGACAAGUGGCAGGUCAGAAGCCAGGGAAGUCAGGGCUGCCAGAAAUUUGCAAGCAGCAGGCAGGACCCCUAGUCUUUAUACAACCCUGGUCUUUCUGUAAAAGGCUGGAAAAAAACAGCUUUUUCAAACAUGCUAUAUUCAAAUGUGCCAUAAUUGUUCUGUUUUGAGAAACCAGAAUGGUCUGGCUUUUGUGCAGAAAUAAGGAGAAUAUCAUCCUUUGCUGCUCAAUGAUAAAUGUAUUGCCUGAACCUGAGCCUGGAAGACACUGCCCUACAUGUGCCCAAUGUCUCACAAUGCUUCCUUUGGGCAGUUUAGUUUGGUGUGUGACCUCUGACCUCAAAGUAUCUGAAUAGAAAACAUAACCACACUAGUUCACGCUACCUAUUCCUCUUUCCUCCAAGCAAGUACACUGAAAAUGCUAAGUCCAAACUGUGAAAGAUCUGAGAUAUUACUGUAUUUGCAAGCUACAAAGUUAGCCCUCCACAAUAUGUAUAUAUGCUUAUGUAUAUAUAUUUAUGUGUGUGUGUGCAUGCACACAUGUGUGAGGUGUGUAAUAUAUAUAUAACUUUAUAUCUGACCAAGUUUUGCAUGCCACGUUCUCACAAAGCAACACAAUGAGGGCUUGAUGUCACUGCAUGUGCAGUGGCGUUGGCUCUACAGGAGAAGAGGAACCCUGAAGUUAUAAAGUUUGGAAGUUUAUGGGACAUCCAUCCAUGUUUUCUUCUGGAAAGAGGAAGAAAUAAAUACUUUACUCUUGAAUGGAAAAAAAAAUAUUUUUGUGGAGAAGAGGGGAGGGUUUUUAUUUUGCCACCCUAGACUGUAAACAAACGGUUUCAGGGACAGAAAAAUCCUGAGGUCUCUAUCUUUAGGUUUCAUACUAUGGUCCAAAUAUGUGUGUAUCCUCAAAAUUCAUGCGCUGAAAUCCUAAUCCUAAAGUGACAGUAUUAGAAAGUGGGGCCUUUGGGAGGUGAUUAGAGGAUGAAGGUGGAGGCCUCAUGAAUGGGAUUAGAGUCUUUAUAAAAGGACCUGAAGGAGCUUUUUUACCCUGCCACCAUGUGAGGACACAGUGAGAAGGCACCAUCUAUGAACCAGAAAGCAGAUGCCCUAACCAGACACUGAAUAUGCUGGCGCCUUGAUCUUGGACUCAGCACACAGAACUGUGAGAAAUAAAUUUCUAUUGUUUGUAAGCUACCCAGUCUAUGGUACUUUCUUAUAGCAUCCCAAAUGGACUAAAACAUUUGAUAUUCAGUCAAAUGUUCUUUGUUCAGUGUUGUUUGUUCAUAAAGCUCUGACCAUGAGGAAACAUGAAAAUAUUUGUGGAGCACUGUCUCCCAAUACCAAAACUCAUCGUUUCUCUCUUAAAAAUAAAGGCAUUUCCAGAACAUCAAUAGAUGCUGGGGUAAGUAAAGGAAGGAGAGAAAAAGAAUGAAAAAGGAAUGAAGCUAUUGUACAUAUGAGCAGUGCCUGGGUUCUAGUUAAAUGAGCCUAAAAUGCCUGUUGCUAUCAUGAUAAGUUACACACAUGUCAAUGUGAACUCUCACUAACCAAGGAGAAAACUGAGAUAACUCUUAUUUUCCUCUCUCCCCUCCCCUCCCCUCCCCUCUCCCUCCCUCCCUUCCUUCCUUCUUUCCUUCCUUUUCUCUUUGUUCUUUCUUUCUUUUGAUUUCUUUCUUUUUCUUUCUUUCUUCUUGCUUCUCUAUUUCUUCCUUUCUUUUUCUUUCUUUCUUCUUUCCUUCUCUCUCUAUUUCUUCCUUCUUUCUGCAUCAGAUGGUUAACAAAAUAGACACAGUCUUGGAGCAAGUCUAGAGUGGCACA